GGCGUCCACACAUAUACACACCAUUUAUAGCAGUAAGACGGAAACACUGACGGUCUACGCACACGUGUCCCGGAUGAACGUGUACCAUAUGUUUACCUGCUGUGACCACGUGUACUACCGCGUCACACAUGUACCUUUGUUUUAUCAUCUCUGAUUUAACUACUUUAUGGAUUUAUUCAGCAUUCCAUCAUGUGUGAUCGGGAUAGACCCGGUCCUAAAUGAUUGCGGUCACGUGGGACGCUAAAAACAAGAUGUACCGGGAGGAAGAAGGCGCCCGGAAGUGGGUCGUGGUGGUGGCCGCCUUCUUUGUCCAGUUUAUAAUUUGCGGGAUCACGUACAGUCUCGGUAUAUUUCAUCACGUGUUUCAGCAAGUGUUUGAGCACGACCACUUUGAUACGUCAUGGGCGGGGUCCAUCCUCUUGUAUGUGACCGCUAUCACCAGUGUGGUGAUGCGCUGUUUUAUGAAAUCGUUCGGAUGUCGGAUCAGCGUCAUGUUGGGUGGGGUACUCUCAGCCACCGGCCUCGCUCUUGGGAUGGUCGUGACUGACCUCUACCAGGUGUACUUGACCUAUGGGGUACUCACAGGUAUCGGUUUUGGCCUGGCGUGCACACCCUCUAUCAUGAUAGUGGAACAACACUUUUACGAGGGUCGGUUUGAGGCCCUGAGUGUUGUGUUAGGAGGGGUCGGGGCUGGUAUGAUUACAUUCCCUAUUAUCAUCCGUACCAUGCUGGAGUACAUGGCGUGGAGGGGCACCCUCUGGAUGUUAGCUGGGUGUGCUUUAAACAUUUGUGUGUGUGGUGCGCUCAUGAAGCCCGCCAAGAACGCCAAGGAGAUGCAGUUGAUGCCCCAACUAUCGUGUGUCCCCUUACGGAACGUUAUAUUCCUGGGGAUGUGUAUUGCCAACUUAUUCUGGAGCUUUGGGUCCACUAUCAUCUACAUGUACCUGCCCUCUUACUCCUUGGAGCAGGGCACGGACUUUGGACUGUCCAGUUUCCUCAUCGCGUGCGUUGGCAUGUCCAGUUUUACGUCACGUAUGAUAUUCGCCUUUAUGGGUAACAACAGCACCUUGGACGAUAUGACGUCACUGCUUUGUUCGGUGGGGCUUGGCGUCGUUGUGACUGGGAUUUGUCCCAUGCUGUUUGAUGACUUUGCCGGACAGAUCGGCUAUACUCUACUGUUCGGAUUCUACAGUGGGUAUUGGACAACAUUUCUAUCACAAUCUGCUCGUGAACUUGUUGGACCAGAAUAUAUUGCCAUGGGCAACGGAUACUUGUCUUUCAUGAUCGCCCUUGGAUCUCUAAUGGGUGGACCCGCAGCAGGUCUGUUGGUACAAGAGGAGAACGAGUUUAAAUAUGUGUUUUACCUGGCAGGUUCAUGUCUGCUUUGGAGUUCCAUUAUAAUGAUGUUGUUUAAGUACCAGAAGUGCGGCUAUCUGACCAUGGGUAGCGAACGAGAGGACCGUCAUUCACACGAACAAAAAGUCCCCCUCGUCGACAUGUUGGAUGACAACAAGGACAAAGGCAUAAAUCUUAACGAAAAAGCGGUGUUCGUGUAAGUGGUCACGUGAUUGUGUUUGGUGUGACGAAUAAGACAUGAAAAUGGCGAAGCAAAUGGGAAACCAUAAUAUGGGACGCAAUGGUAAGCUCGAUCUGAAGACGGAGGCUCGACGUGAGAAGACCGACACUUUUGCUGCUAAAUCAGACGCAUUCUUUUUCUAGUCGACAGCGCUCGAUUUAAAGUAAAACGUGUGAGGCCGUAACUCUCGGGAAUAGACCAGUGGCCGUGACCAAGACUGUUGUGCAGUUGCAAGUUUUGCAUUUCAUCAUUACUAUGUGGUUUGUAGCAUUCCAAAAUUCAUGUGUGUGUCUAUUCAAAGUCUCUGUCCUGAAUAGGAGUCAGAAAGGUCUGUGAUAAAUCAGAUGUCAUAUUGUACAUCAUCUCAUCCCUGACAGAACGAUGGAACCAAGACGGUUUCCACAGAUCAGCAGGAGUCACGGAAUUAUGUCUGUUUACUAUUUGAUUUUUAUCCCGAAGCACAUUUCUCGUUGGCGUUAAUUGUCUCGUGUUCAAAAAUCAUUGUUAUUUACAUGGAAACAUCUUUACCGGUUAUGACCAAACACACAUCCCAGAACGGUUCUACAGUUAGACCCAGAUUCAUAAGCAUGUUAAAUGUUUGGAAGAACUGCUCUCUGGACUCAGUUUUAGCAGCAGAAACUUAUUCUGUUGAAUAUGUCUUUGAACUUUAAUACUGGUUUCAGAAAUAUAGGAUCAUCGACAAUUUACCCAUGAAUCGCCUACCUCUUCGAUAAGUUUGGGACCAAUAAGGAAAAAACUAAUAACGUGAACAAUUUCAUAUUUAACAUCCAUUUGUUGUGCAUUAAUUGUGAUGAUACAAUCUAAUUGACCUAAACAUGAAAUGUUAACGUCUUAUCUUAUCUGACAAUGUCGAUGAUAACGUCACUGUUUGACCCAGGUGGGGUUAGUAGUUUGGCGUAUAGAUUAAACAAGUCAGUGAUAAUUGAUAGAGGGUAGGCUUAGUGGAGCCGUUCCUUUAUCAGUGGGGUGAAUCUGACUGCAGCAUGUAAUAACAAUUAUAUUCCUACGUACAACUAAGGCCCAAAGACCGAGAUUAACAAUAGCAUAUUCAUUUUUUACUAGUAGUACUGAUUUUUGAAAAUCGUUAAUUAUGGAUCAUCGGUCUUAUUUAUGUAUCAUCAUAGUGGUAUUAGUGUGUGUGUGUGUGUGCGUGUGUUUGUGUGAUUGAUGGCUGGGUCACGGCGUAUUUCUUGGGUUUUUAGGUCACCUGAGACUUUGUCUCAAGUGACCUAUUGCGAUCGCCUUUUGUCCGGCGUCGUACGUCGUGCGUCCGUAAACAAUUUACAUUUUCGACUUCUUCUCAAAAACUACUGUACCAAUUGUAAUGAAAUUUAGCGGGAACCUUCCAUGGCAAACGUUGAACCAAAAGUGUGAAUUAUAUGGUCCCCACGUGGGUCCCCAGGGGCCUUAGGGGUGGGGCCAAAAAGGGUCAAAUUGACUCAAAUUUCAAAAAUCUUCUUCUCUACACCCAGAUAUAGUAGAAUCAAAUACUCUUCAUGGAUGGAAGGGUCUUAAAGUACUUUACCAAAAUUGUGAACUUCAUGACCUCAGGGUCCCGCCUCGGAGGGGUAAAGUUUGAUAUAGUUUAUAUAGGAAAAUGACAUUUUGUGCAUUAUUUGUUGAAUUUCCAUUGGAAAUCAUUCAAACGUGGUUAUAAUUAUAAGUAUAGGUUGAUGGUAUGCACAUACUGACCCCGGAUGACCCCCAGGGGCUGAUGGGCGGGGCCAAAAGGGGUGAAAUUGAUUUG
rnacentral:misc_RNA from 1 species